GCCCAGCUAGCUCAGUCGGUAGAGCAUGAGACUCUUAAUCUCAUGGUCGUGGGUUCGAGCCCCACCUUGUGUCA